ACAUUCUGAUCCUAAUUGUCACAUUCACAUACUAUGUUCAUAUAAAAACUAUAUAGUAUUGGCAUUUCUUUGUCAAAUGGCUUGAUCUCUAUUAUGUGCCCGUAAGCAUGGUAAGGAUGGCUCCAUUCUCUCUACUUGCCCCUUAUAAAACUCUUUCCUAAAAGGUAAAGUGGCCAUAACUUGGAAGCUUUAAUGAAUGGACACAAUAUAGUUAGUUAUUUCCAUUCUCAAGAGUUCACGUCAAUCAUUUAUUUUAAUUUUCUUCUUUUUUGUGUGUCUUUCUUGCUAUGUUUACAUGUUCACCACAAACAACUUUUGGACUUAGGUUUAUAAAUUAGAGUUGGAAAAGUUAUUAGUGACAUAAAAUUCAAUAGGUAAAAUUUGUUGAAAGGACAUAAAAGUUAAUAGAGGCAUUAAUUAAAUAUAUCAUGUAAUACAUACGGUUUCUUUUACCAUUAGUAAAUUGCAGUAAUUUAUUUUAGGGAACAAGAACACAACACACCAAGAUUUACUUAAUUCGGUCAGAUUGUAUGUGGUAUUUCCCUUUGCCUAAUCCACUAAUCUCACAUAGUACAAGAUGAACUAGGCUCUCAUUACAAUUAUAAAACACUCAAUGUCUUCCUAGUAGAAACCUUAAUGUUCUCUCAACACUCUUGAAAACCAGUAUUCGAACUCAAAUAUAGGUGUUUCUACUAAUAAAAUAAUAUCAUUUCAAUUACAAAGUGUAUCUUUUUCUUAUUUCAAUUACUAAGUUAUAAUAUUAUAAUUUUAGAUUUUAAUAUAGGGUAAUAAUUUCAGAUUAUAAUAUAGGGUAAUUAUAUAAUUUAAAGUUUUAAUAUACAAAUAAAUAUUGUUUUCCACUCAAUUUUGAUUUGUAAGUGAAUCAAUGUUUUGAUGCUUCUCCUUUGGAUGUCUUUCGAAUUCACAAAUUUAUACAACACUAAGCUUUAGCUUUACUCAAAAAAUGCUUAUUAAGUGUUUGAUGGAAUGCUUCAGCGAAACAUACGAGUAAAUUGAAUGAUUUUUAUGUUUUUUUUUAAUCUCUUAUGUUAUGGGUUGUAGAUUAUUAAUAGCUGGUAUUGAUAAGUCAUGUGUUCUUCCCUUCGUUGAUAGAGUCGGGUAUUUUCAUGAAUUUUAUCAUUCAUUUUUGUGUGUGGAUUGUGAAUCCUUACUUAUUUUUUAUGGUGUGGCUGUUUAUCUUAGUCUUAGACUUAGUUAGUCACACAACUCCCUUGUGGCUAUGGCCUUAUAUUUUGUGUUGAAAAUAAGAAAGAUUAAGAUCAAUUUUAGAGAGCUUUAUCUUAUAGGAAGAUUGGAGUGGAACUUUUGAUAUGGCAAAAACAGUUUGAUUUGGAAUAUCUCAAUGGGAUAUGAACCUUAAAUAUUGUGUAUGAAAUAUCAUAAAGAUGGUGUUGGAAUAAAUAAAUAUAUAUAUAUAAUUUUGGUGGGGUCAAAGAUAUUUGUAUUGAUGGAAAAAAAACAGUUAAAUCUCUGUUAGCUAAUUCGAACGAAAAAGGAACCAACUUAUUAGUAUAGUUGAGUUAUUUUGUAAUGUUAUAUAUAUAUGUACAUAUAUAUAUAUAUCUAUAUUUACCAUUGUGAUCAUACUAUUCUAGACUUUCCAUGUGCAGUGGACAGGCUAUAGUUUACAUAAUUAUUGGUGUAAUUUCAAUUUUAUAGCUUUUCACAUAUUUUCUAGUUAAUGAUAUAUAAAGAUUAAUUCUAUAUUAGUGAAUAUUUUAAAGCUUUUCAAAAACACGUUUUAUUUAGUUAUGUUUCAUAUAUUUAUAUAAUUUUGGAUGAGUUUAUAUGCGUUAAUUAAUUAGAACAGAUAGUAACAAUCGAAGCACAAUAAUUUUAAAAAAAAACGAAAGUCAUGUAUGGAAGGUGUUUGCCAAAAUGCUUGAGAGAACCAUGGUUACACAAGCAACUAAGAUUGAUGUAAUUUUUCUCUACAAUGUCGUUUUUGAUGGGUUCUCUCAAUUUUUCUAACUAGUGCUUGUAAAUUGUUCAACUUUGUUUAGUGAGUUGGAAGGGUAAACUAUUAUUGUAGCUUCCUUAUGUCUAGUGACACAGCUCCACGAGAUUACUUUGCUACUUUCUGCCAAUUGCAAUGCUUCAAUUUGUAAAUUUGCUCCAACCAUAAGUUGAGGUGUGUUUUCAUUGAAUUUUUUGUAAGCUAAAUCUGGAUUUGUCAUCUUGUGUUUAAUUCUCAGAAUUUUGAAGGCUUCCAAAUCCACGUCUAAUUUUAAAACUUGAAUAUUUAUAUUUGAGCCUGGAUUUGUCAUCUUGUAUAUACACAUACACAUUUUAAACUAAAUUUGUACAGAGAAAGACGGAUUCUGAGGCUAAAGCUGCAGCAGGGGUAUAGACAAUGCUCGUGCUGUAACCAAUCUGGUGACUGCUCGAUAAAGCAAGCACUUUUAUUAACAGGUACGAAAAUAGUCUUAUUGAUAUAAUUUAUUUCUCUUGUUUUUGUUUUUAUACAUUUCUAAAAAUGUAGAGCUAGCUAGAUAGAUAAGAGUUAAUGAAAAGUAUUGCCUCGCCCACAUGAAUAAUUGUAUCAUUAUGUAGUAUAGCUAGAAUUAGAUAUACAUAGCCUUACUAGGACCUAUGUAUACCUACGAGCUCUGCAUAUAUUUGCUUUGUCAUCAAGUGAUAGAAAUAUUGGAUUAUGAAAUUUUACAUAGUAUAUCUAGGAGUAGGAGUGGACCUAGGUAGAGUGUUUCAAUUUCAUUCAUUUUAAUAUUAUUAAAAAAAUAGACAUAUAAUUAUAAACUAUUUUUGUAUAUCUGUAUAUAUAUUUUUUUUUCAGGUGCUCCAAUUCUACAAUUGUCUCAACUUUCAACUAUUUGGUUACCACUAAAUCUUGAUAUCAUUUAGGUCCUAUAUUUUUCAUUAUUUUACAAUUUUGAAUGAUAAAUGUAUUACUUUAGUGGAGUUUGAAUAUCUUAGAUAUUCAUCCGUAGUGAAGUAGGUUCUGGGAAUUCUGUGUGCUGCGGUGAUAACGGAAGAUUUGAGAACUUGCAUGUCUUAGUGAAGUAGGUUCUGAGAAUUUUGUGUGCUGCGGUGACAUAUGGAUGAAAACCUGUGUGAUGUUUGAUUUGUUUGACAUGUUGGUAUUUAUUGUGAGAGAUUAUGGCUAGGCUAGUAAAUUAGGGAAUAUGCUGUCUGAUUUUUUAUAGAAUUUUUUGUACUUAGUUUUGUGUGGAAAUAUGAAAAAGAUGAUUGCCACAAUGAUAAAUUUGUGAUCCGAAUAUUUACCAUUCGAGUUACUUUAAACAUAAUAAUGAGUUACUCUAUAUGUAACCACCAAAUUACUCUGAGUUACUCUAAAUGUACUAACAAGGUUACUCUCUAUAUAUACCAACUUAGUUAUAUUUUGUUAUCAACAAGUGGGUUCAAUAUGUACCAACUAGGUUACUUUUUGUGUACUAAUGAGUUACUCAAAAUGUAAUAGGUGGGUUACUCUUUUAUUAUGUAGCAAUUGAGUUGUUAUGUUCCAAUACGAAAAUCUUACAUGUAUUAGUCGAGUUACUCCUGUGUAUCAACCGAGUUACUUUUUUACCAAUAGAGUUACUCGAACAAGACUUAUGCAAUAUUAUUAUAAUGUUGUUCUCGUAACCAAAACCUAUGUAGAGAAUUACUAAUGACUUUUAAAGUAUCUUUUUGUUGUAUGUUACUAAUGAGUUUUUUGAUGGAAAUUAGAAUCAAAACAUGGCUCAUAGGUUACCAACAUGUACUUUAGUACAUCAAACUAGGAUACUAAGGGGUAUCGUCAUAUUUUUUCAACAACCCAAAAUUAAUAUCUUUUCGCCAAACCAAACUAGUGUAGUGAGUUUAUUUUUAUUAAAUAAACCAGUGUGAUGAGUUAUAAUGCUCAUAUGAACUAAAGAUAUUAUUUUCCUUAUUAAUUAAUAGUCAAUAAGAAUACCACACAAGCUAAGCUAUUAUUUAGAUACGCUAUUAUUUUGAUCGGUUAAUUUAUUACAAAAUUUAUUCAUAUUUAAAUUUUAAGACUGAUUUUUUAAAAAUGUAUGUAUAUGUAUAAAGGCAAGACAACAAAGCUUUUUUAAAUGAGCUAGUUGUGCAUUGUAGUUGGAUGAGUUAGUUUGUUAAUUCCUUGUGGGGAGGGGCUUGGGCAGGGAGGGGAUCGGCAGGGAAGGUGGCUGAGCUGGGCUCGGGGUUGGCUGGAGGUCGAAGGCGCAGGGAGGGGUUUAGGUUGGGCUGGGCUGGGCUUGGCUUGGGUCGACAGUGCAGGGAGGGGCUCAGCAGGGACGGUGGCUGGGCUGGGCUCGGGGCUGGCUGGUGGGGUUCUCAACUUCACGGCGGCGACACUAUAGCUCACGGCGGCAGCAAGUAUUUAUUUUAUUUCUUGAUUUUUUUAUGUUAAAAUAUGUUUCAUUUGAUUGUGUUGGAUAUGUUCAGAUCUGAUUUUGAGCCUAGACUAAUAACGAAUAUCAUCUUUAGUGUAUUUUGCUUAUGCUUUAAUGGCUUUAUACUUGUGUUUCACUAUUGGUUUUUGGUGUAUUUUGUGACUGGAUUUUGGUGUGUUUAUGGUUUAUUUUGAUGCUUCUUUAAUGGAUUAAUAUGGUAGA